UUAUUCUAUUACAGAAACACUUUAUUCCAUUCUUCCUUUGCUUCUUCCCUCCUUUCUUUGGCUCUUCUGUCCUUUCCUCUUUCCUUUCCUUCCUCCUUUCUUUCCUUCCCCCUUUAGUGGAAUUAACACAAAGGGAAAAAGACGACUUGAAUAAGAGAGACAAGAAAUGCUCUUAAUACCGCUAAGACUUUCAAUGACAAGAUGACAAUCUUAUAGAUAGGGAAAGAUUUGUUAAUUUCUUCACCCAUGUAUUAUGAAGUAUUUUCUCCCCAUUAAUGCUAUUUGUGAGAUGACAGUGAUGUAUCUUAGAUAUCCUUAGUGUUACCCUAUCACUCUUACUGUAAGGCUCUUUAUCCAAUUUCACAGAUGAUAACUUCUAGUUUGUAAACCAUUGGUUAUCAAUUAAAAGAAAUCAUCCAGAACUAACUCUUUGGCUAGUGUAAUUAAUCUUUAUAUAGUCUAAUCCCUAUUUUAUGAAGAGAUCUGCAUCAAAGAAUAGAGUAUUUACUCCAAAUCAUACCCUUGGUGUUAUGAUAAUCAGUUUUUCUAUCAUUUAAGUCAUCUAGAAGAAAGGGGAGAAAAUGAUGUAUCUCACAUAAAUACUAUUAUUCAUCAUGUUUAAAAUCAUACAGUUUUACUAAAUGAGGAAUUCUGAAUUCUUCACCUUUUUUUACAAGGUUAACUCUGAAUAUGAAAUAACACAAACAGUUAAGAAUAAUAAAUGAAUAAUGACAAAAGUAUUAAAGAUUAGUAUUCGCUAGACAAGGCAGUUGAGGAGGAGGGAGCGCUUGGAGGGGGGGUUGGCCUGGCGUGCACUCCGCACCUCGGGGACGCUGCUGCGCGUGGAACGGCUGCUUUUGGAAGACUGUUGCGCAGAAGAAAAGAUGUUUGGUUUCCACAAGCCAAAGAUGUACCGAAGUAUAGAGGGCUGCUGUAUUUGCAGAGCUAAGUCCUCCAGUUCUCGAUUCACUGACAGUAAACGCUACGAAAAGGACUUCCAGAGCUGUUUUGGGUUGCAUGAAACUCGUUCGGGAGACAUCUGCAAUGCCUGUGUCCUGCUUGUGAAAAGAUGGAAGAAGUUGCCAGCAGGAUCAAAAAAAAACUGGAAUCAUGUGGUAGAUGCAAGGGCAGGACCCAGCCUAAAGACUACAUUGAAACCAAAGAAAGUGAAAACUCUGUCUGGAAACAGGAUAAAAAGCAACCAGAUCAGUAAACUGCAGAAGGAAUUUAAACGUCAUAAUUCUGAUGCUCACAGUACCACCUCAAGUGCCUCCCCAGCUCAGUCUCCAUGUUAUAGUAACCAGUCAGAUGAUGGCUCAGAUAUAGAGAUGGCUUCUGGUUCCAAUAGAACACCAGUUUUUUCCUUUUUAGAUCUCACAUACUGGAAAAGACAGAAAAUAUGUUGUGGGAUUAUCUACAAAGGCCGUUUUGGGGAAGUCCUCAUCGACACACAUCUAUUCAAGCCUUGCUGCAGCAAUAAGAAAGCAGCUGCUGAGAAGCCGGAGGAGCAGGGCCCAGAGCCUCUGCCCAUCUCCACUCAGGAGUGGUGACUGAGGUUUUUAUGUAGAAGGGGAACAAAAAAUGAUUUAAGUUUUGAAAAGACCACAAAGCAACAAGCUGACCCUCCUAUUUUUAACUUGGAUACCUGCUAUUCUGCCAAAAGACAACUUCUAGAAUAGUUUCGAAUGGGUUAUUUUCCCCCCAGUUCCACAACCUCUGAAGCCAGUGUCUAGCUUACUAAAAAAAGAAUUGUAUAUAAUAUUUAAGAUGCUGAGUAUUUCAUAGGAAAGCUGAAUGCUGCUGUAAAGUGCUCUUUAAGUCUUCUUCUUCUUUUUUUUUUUUUUUAAAUCCCCUUCUAAUGAAUGAAACUAAGGGGAAUUUCAGGGGACAGUGAUGGGAUUUGUUGUAUGAUAAACAGUAUGUAGUUUUAGUCUUUCUAUAUUGAGAAGCAGUGGUUGGGGCAUAUUUUAAGAUGGCUGGCUACACUUGUUUUCCCUCAUGAUAAUAAAGUUGUCAUAACUCAGCAACACGGACUUGCUCCUAGAGGUAAUUGUUAAGAAUUUUGAAAUAUUAAGGUCUUGCCAAGGUUCUGAUGAUUCAAACCUGUACUACUGAUUAUUAAGCAGGACAGACUGAGCUUUCUGUUAGAAAUACCUUGAAGGAAAAAGUAAUUUCUAAAUAUACAGAGAUGUCAACUUGACUGUAUAUUUUGCAUCCUGUGCCACCUCCCUUCAUAUUAAUAUUUGAUACGGAUUUUAAUUUAUGUGAAAUUUCUAAAGCAGAAUGAAAGCUCUUUUUGGGGGAAUGGCAAAUCUUUGGGAUAGGUGAGACCCGAGGUGAAUAGUACCAAAGCAUUACCCCACGGUAGACAGCACACUUGAUUAAAAAUGUUAAACUGUCUGAGAAAUAAAAUGUUCAAGUCUUCAAGAUGGCACAAAACAAAGGUUGAUGCUUUUGGGGGCGUAUUUUCUUAGAGGGCUUGCCGAGUAUGUAAAUAAUUGACUUUGUUUGUGUUACAUGACUGUUGAUGACUUCAUUGAAAAUCUGCACAAUUCAGUUUUAGCUCUGGAUUACUUCAGUUGACCUUUGUGAAGGUUUUAUCUGUGUAGAGUGGAUGUUUGACUUGUUUUAACCUAUUAGGGUUUUUAUUGUUUUUCACUCUAUAUUUAAAGUAAAAUUUACUAAAAGAAAAGAGGUGUGUGUUAAUGCUAAGUGGGUUGGCUUUGGUUUGGCUUCUGUUAGUCAGGCUUUUGAACAUUGAAAUAUCCUGAACUUGGAGUUCUUCAGUUCUAAAAUUCUCAUUAAAAGCCUCUCAUUUGAACCCAAACCAAAGUACUCUUCUUGCCUCUUUUCUAAAAGUUCAGGAGAAAAAUAUCACCAGUUCAGACUUAUUUUCAUAAUGAGGGAGGAGCAUUUGCCUGCCUUAUAAUGACAUGACUCAGUGCUUAUUUUUUAAACUGGAUUUUAAAAAUUGGAUAGUGUAACAAUAAGGAGUGAGCCACUUUUUAUGGACACCCUAUAGUUUUAUAGUUCUUACUCUAAACAUUUUAUAUUUCCUCCUUUUGGAAAAAAACCUAUAUGCUAUAAGCCACCAUAUGCGUAGACUACACAGCUGGUUGGGUCGGCUCUCUCACAGCCUUUGAGGUGAAUUUACAAGAGUCCAGCCAUUAUCAUCCUCCUGAGUUAUUUUGAAAUGUUUUUUUUUUUUUUUGUACAUUUUGGCUGCAGUAUUGGUGGUAGAAUAUACUAUAAUAUGGAUCA